UACGAAGGGGGCUAGCGUUGUUCGGAAUUACUGGGCGUAAAGCGCACGUAGGCGGCAUGUUAAGUCAGGGGUGAAAUCCCGGGGCUCAACCCCGGAACUGCCUUUGAUACUGGCAUUCUCGAGUCCGGAAGAGGUGAGUGGAAUUCCGAGUGUAGAGGUGAAAUUCGUAGAUAUUCGGAGGAACACCAGUGGCGAAGGCGGCUCACUGGUCCGGUACUGACGCUGAGGUGCGAAAGCGUGGGGAGCAAACAGG
rnacentral:rRNA from 1 species